AAAGGAAUAGACGGGAGCCCGCACAAGCAGUGGAGUAUGUGGUUUAAUUCGACGCAACGCGAAGAACCUUACCGGAGCUUGACAUCCUAAGAAGUCGGCUGUAAUGGCUGAUGUGCCCUUCGGGGAGCUUAGAGACAGGUGGUGCAUGGUUGUCGUCAGCUCGUGUCGUGAGAUGUUGGGUUAAGUCCCGCAACGAGCGCAACCCUUACGGUUAAUUGCUACGCAAGAGCACUUUAGCCGGACUGCCGUUGACAAAACGGAGGAAGGUGGGGAUGACGUCAAAUCAUCAUGCCCCUUACGUUCCGGGCUACACACGUACUACAAUGGCGCAAACAAAGGGAAGCGAAGCCGCGAGGUGAAGCAAAUCCCAUAAAAGGCGUCCCAGUUCGGACUGCAGGCUGCAACUCGCCUGCACGAAGUCGGAAUUGCUAGUAAUCGCGGAUCAGCAUGCCGCGGUGAAUACGUUCCCGGGCUUUGUACACACCGCCCGU
rnacentral:rRNA from 1 species